CAAUAGCGUAUAUUAAAGUUGUUGCAGUUAAAAAGCUCGUAGUUGGAUUUCUGGUAGGAGUGACCGUUCCGAACUUGAUUGUUCGUGUAUUGUGUUUUCUCCAGCCAUCCUUGUGGAGACCUUUUCUUGCAUUAAUUUGUAGGGAUUGGGACCCGCAUCGUUUACUGUGAAAAAAUUAGAGUGUUUAAAGCAGGCAAUCGCUUGAAUACAUUAGCAUGGAAUAAUAAGAUAGGACUUUGGUACUAUUUUGUUGGUUUGCAUACCAAAUUAAUGAUCAACAGGAACAGUUUGAGGAUAUUCGUAUGAACAUGUCAGAGGUGAAAUUCUUGGAUUUUGAUCAGACGAACUACUGCGAAAGCAUUUAUCAAGGAUGUUUUCAUUAA
rnacentral:rRNA from 1 species